rnacentral:misc_RNA from 1 species
UACCAUGUUAGUCAUGCCUUCCAACCAUAUCCAAUGUUAUCAUCAAGGUCACCAUUAAAAAAGCCAUUAUCAGUUAACUCAUGGGCAAUAUCAGGAACAAUGUCAUCCUGCAAAUGGAGAUUCUGAGGCAAUUCUGGCACUUUCUGUUUAAAACCACUAUUGCCACCAGCUGCAGAAGAAUCACUGUUCGAAGCAGCUUUAAAACUGUUGCUCCUACUUGGUGCUGAUCCAGCAACACUUCCUGACACAAUGGCAGCAGCAGGAGGUGCUGCAGAAGAGUUGCUUCCGAAACCCAAUCCAUUACUUGCCAUACUCCCAUUCAUAUUCUGUCCAGCAAAAGGAUGUUGUUGAACUCCUCCCCCACUAUUAUUAGACAUCUCCUGCAGCAGUUGCUGGAUCAUCUGCUGUUGCA